GAUGAACGCUGGCGGCGUGCCUAAUACAUGCAAGUCGAGCGAACGGACGAGAAGCUUGCUUUUCUGAUGUUAGCGGCGGACGGGUGAGUAACACGUGGAUCACCUACCUAUAAGACUGGGAUAACUUCGGGAAACCGGAGCUAAUACCGGAUAAUCUUUUGAACCGCAUGGUUCAAAAGUGAAAGACGGUCUUGCUGUCACUUAUAGAUGGAUCCGCGCUGCAUUAGCUAGUUGGUAAGGUUACGGCUUACCAAGGCAACGAUGCAUAGCCGACCUGAGAGGGGGGUAGGCCGCCCUGGAACGUGACCGCGGACCAGGGGACUGAGGGAGGGAGCAGAAGGGAAUCGUACGCAAUGGGGGGAAAUCUGACGGAAGGAGGCGGAGUGAGUGAUGGAGGUGCUGCGUGCGGAAAACCCUGUUUCUAGGGAAGAACAUAUGUGGAAGUAGCUGUGCACAGCGUGACGGUACCUAAUCAGAAAGCCACGGCUAACUACGUG
rnacentral:rRNA from 1 species